GAUGAACGCUGGCGGCGUGCCUAAUACAUGCAAGUCGAGCGAACAGACGAGGAGCUUGCUCCUCUGACGUUAGCGGCGGACGGGUGAGUAACACGUGGAUAACCUACCUAUAAGACUGGGAUAACUUCGGGAAACCGGAGCUAAUACCGGAUAAUAUAUUGAACCGCAUGGUUCAAUAGUGAAAGACGGUUUUGCUGUCACUUAUAGAUGGAUCCGCGCCGCAUUAGCUAGUUGGUAAGGUAACGGCUUACCAAGGCAACGAUGCGUAGCCGACCUGAGAGGGUGAGCGGCCGCACUGGAACUGAGACACGGUCCCGACUCCUACGGGAGGCAGCAGUAGGGAAUCGUCCGCAAAGGGCGGAAGCUUGACGGAGCAAGGGCGGGUGAGUGAGGGAGGGCGUCGGAUCGGUAAACACUGUUUUUAGGGAAGAAAAAAUGUGUAAGUAACUAUGCACGGCUUGACGGUACCUAAUCAGAAAGCCACGGCUAACUACGUU
rnacentral:rRNA from 1 species